rnacentral:misc_RNA from 1 species
GAAAUGCGAUACGUAAUGCGAAUUGCAGAAUUCAGUGAAUCAUCAAAUCUUUGAACGCAAAUUGCGCUUUCGGGAUAGGCCUGGAAGCACGCCUCUUUGAGUAUCGAUUCCACCACAUUCACUAGUAUGCUUUGCAUAUUAGCGGAAACUGAGCCUUCAUUGUCGAAAGUCAAUGUGGCUUUAAAAGUGUUAAGUUCUGGCAGCCUUGUGAAGUCUGGCUUUAUGUCAGAUAGCUUUUCGCUCAAAGGCAAGUUCAGUGUCGCUAGUGACGUGGAUAAUUUCACUUUUUGUGAACCUUCCAAUACGUGACUGACUGCUCGUAUGCUGUUCCGAUCGGUGGUCGCAAUUGCAGCCGAACGUCACGAAAGUGACAACUCUUUUGAAUUAGAUCUCAAAUGAA